rnacentral:rRNA from 1 species
AUACGGAGGGUGCAAGCGUUAUUCGGAAUCACUGGGCGUAAAGGACGCGUAGGCGGGUUGGCAAGUCAGAUGUGAAAUCCUACAGCUUAACUGUAGAACUGCAUUUGAAACUGCUAACCUAGAGUAUGGGAGGGGGAGAUGGAAUUAGUGGUGUAGGGGUAAAAUCCGUAGAUAUCUCUAGGAAUACCGAAAGCGAAGGCGGUCCCCUGGAACAUAACUGACGCUAAGGCGUGAAAGCGUGGGGAGCAAACAGGAUUAGAUACCCUAGUAGUCC